GCUGGGCACAGUGGUGCAUGCUUGUAAUCCCAGUGCUUUGGGAGGCAGAGGCAGGGGAAUUAGAAGUUGGAAGCCAGCCUCAGUAAUUUAAUGAGAUCCUGUCUUUA
rnacentral:sRNA from 1 species